rnacentral:lncRNA from 1 species
GUUCGGUAGUGUAAACGCAUUGGAUUAAAUAAGAUCGAUCUCGUCCAUUAAGGAUACAUUAUUUUUUUUAAAUGCUUCCAAAACUAAACUUAUAUUAGACUCUUAUAAAUAAGUAUCACAUAUAACUGUUUCAAAUCCCACAAUCACGGGAAUAACUAAGUUCGGGUACAUGCAUGUUUUGUUUAUCAAAUGUGAAUCAAACCUGAAAAUUCGGGGUAAACAAUAUUUUUGUAACUCGCAACUCGACUUUCUUAACUCGCAACUCGACUUUUGUAACUCGCAACUCGACUUUCCUAACUCGCA